UAUAAUAACAGAGUGUAAGGCAGGCAGAUGUGGGAAAUUGGCUUUUCAUACAGACAUGGCAUUUCAGGACCACCACCACCACCACCACCACAACCACCAGCAUCUAUCCCAAGAAAUGCCCCUCCACCAUCCCCACUACUCCGACAACCACGCCUCCGUCUUCCGCUCCCUCCUCCCCGAUCACCACCUCUCCCCCGACGACAAACCGUCGCAAGCACCACCACCAACAACCACCACCACCGCGUGGCUCAACCACCACCACCACCACCAGUGGCUCCCCACCCAAAGUCAACUCAGCCCAACCACCCCACCGGACAACAACAACAACAACAACAACGAUCACCUCCACCACGACAGCGGCGCCGCCGGAGAUAAGAGCAACAGCAGCGGCGGCGGCGGCGGCAGCAGCACGAACUGGGAGAGAGAGAAAUACAAGGCGGAUAUUCUGAGCCACCCACUUUACGAGCAGCUGCUGUCGGCCCACGUGUCCUGCCUCCGCAUAGCUACUCCGGUGGACCAGCUGCCGAGGAUCGACGCCCAGCUGGCGCAGUCGCAGCAGGUGGUGGCUAAGUCUCCGUUCUCGGACACGGUCAACACCCCCUCGACGAUGAAGACCUCGACCAUUUCAUGACGCAUUAUGUUUUAUUACUGUCCUCGUUCAAAGAACAACUGCAACAACACGUCCGAGUUCAUGCAAUGGAAGCAGUCAUGGCUUGUUGGGAGCUUGAGCAAUCGUUACAAAGCUUAACAGGGGUAGCACCGGGUGAAGGUACAGGGGCAACGAUGUCCGAUGACGACGAGGAUCAAGCAGACAGUGAAACAAACCUGUUCGAUGAAAGUCUCGACGGAGGAGACAACAUGGGAUUUGGUCCCUUAGUACCCACUGAAACCGAGAGGUCUUUGAUGGAACGAGUCAGGCUAGAACUUAAACACGAGCUUAAACAGGGUUAUAAGGAGAAGAUUGUGGAUAUCAGAGAAGAGAUACUACGAAAAAGACGAGCGGGGAAACUACCUGGAGAUACUACUUCUGUCUUGAAAUCUUGGUGGCAAUCGCAUUCGAAAUGGCCUUAUCCAACCGAGGAAGAUAAGGCGAGGCUCGUGCAAGAAACAGGGUUGCAACUGAAACAGAUAAACAAUUGGUUCAUUAAUCAAAGGAAACGGAAUUGGCAUAGCAAUCCUUCUUCGUCUACUCCGAAAAGCAAGCGCAAAAGUGGUGCAGGUGACAAAACGGGAAAUGAACGUUUUGCAUGAAGAAAAAGGGUAUCAGAUUCGAGCAAAUAUACGGGUGAAGAAUGGGACGGACGACGAAAUAGAAGAUUAUCAGUGUUAGCUGCUUUUAAGGUAGUUCUUGAAAUUGGCUGGGGGCUUUGUUGAGUAAGAAUAUUUAGUUAGAAGCCAAUUUAAAAGGACUUAAUAUAUGAUUUGGACACCUGAAAACAUAUCAAAAGCUACUGUAAUAUUUUAAUUGUGGUGUUAAUUAAAUAUCAACAUGAGUAUAUGAGCAGAAUCCAAUUAGUAGUAGUUUUUUUUUUUUUCUU